AGAGUUUGAUUCUGGCUCAGGACGAACGCUGGCGGCGUGCUUAACACAUGCAAGUGGAGCGACGAACCAGGGCUUGCCCUGGGGCAGAGCCGCGAACGGGUGAGUAACACGUGGGUAACCUACCCCGAUGACUGGGACAACCCGAGGAAACUCGGGCUAAUACCGGAUGUACUCGCAACGCGUAAGCGAUGUGAGUAAAGGAAGCUUCGGCCUCCGCUUCGGGAGGGGCCCGCGGCCCAUUAGCUUGUUGGUGAGGUAACGGCUCACCAAGGCAACGAUGGGUAGCUGGUCUGAGAGGACGAUCAGCCACACUGGGACUGAGACACGGCCCAGACUCCUACGGGAGGCAGCAGUGGGGAAUCUUGCGCAAUGCGCGAAAGCGUGACGCAGCAACGCCGCGUGGGGGAAGACGGCCUUCGGGUUGUAAACCCCUUUCAGGAGGGACGAAGGUGCGGCGGCGAAUAGCCGUCCGUACUGACGGUACCUCCACAAGAAGCCCCGGCUAACUACGUGCCAGCAGCCGCGGUAAUACGUAGGGGGCUAGCGUUGUCCGGAAUCAUUGGGCGUAAAGCGCGCGUAGGCGGCCCGGUAAGUCCGUUGUGAAAGUCAAAGGCUCAACCUUUGAAUGCCGAUGGAUACUGCCGGGCUCGAGUCCGGAAGAGGCGAGUGGAAUUCCUGGUGUAGCGGUGGAAUGCGCAGAUAUCAGGAGGAACACCAAUAGCGAAAGGCAGCUCGCUGGGACGGUACUGACGCUAAGGCGCGAAAGCGUGGGGAGCGAACAGGAUUAGAUACCCUGGUAGUCCACGCCGUAAACGAUGGACACUAGGUGUGGGAGGUGUCGACUCCUCCCGUGCCGCCGCUAACGCAUUAAGUGCCCCGCCUGGGGAGUACGGCCGCAAGGCUAAAACUCAAAUGAAUUGACGGGG
rnacentral:rRNA from 1 species